rfam:Gossypium arboreum cultivar AKA8401 contig_20884_1, whole genome shotgun sequence.
UGUUAAAAUUUUUAUCUAUUUGUACUAUUAAAAACUUGUGUAGUUGAUAGAACAACCAAAAAGUGUCAUGUGGCAUGCUACUUAUACCUCAUGCUGACAUACAAUAACCAAUUUUUAACCCUAAAAUUGGAUGUGAUUUUAACA